CACGUAGUUGGCCGGUGCUUCUUCUACCCCUACCGUCACCCGGAAGGCUUCGUCAAGGUCGAAAGAGGUUUACAACCCGAAGGCCGUCAUCCCCCACGCGGCGUCGCUGCGUCAGGCUUUCGCCCAUUGCGCAAUAUUCCCCACUGCUGCCUCCCGUAGGAGUCUGGGCCGUGUCUCAGUCCCAGUGUGGCCGGUCGCCCUCUCAGGCCGGCUACCCGUCGUCGCCUUGGUAGGCCAUCACCCCACCAACAGCUGAUAGGCCGCGGGCCCAUCCCCAGCCGAAAAACUUCCACCACACACCAUGCGACAUGUGGUCAUAUCCGGUAUUAGACCCAGUUUCCCAGGCUUAUCCCAGAGCUGAGGGCAGGUCACCCACGUGUUACUCACCCGUUCGCCGCUCGUCGUACCCCGAAGGCCUUACCGCUCGACCUUGCAUGUGUUAAGCACGCCGCCAGCGUUCGUCCGUGACGCCAGGAUACAAACCUCU
rnacentral:rRNA from 1 species